rnacentral:rRNA from 1 species
GGUGAACGCUAGUAGUAUGCUUAACACAUGCGAGUCGAACGGAGAAUAAUUCUUCGUGGCGUACGGGUGAGUAACGCACAGGAAUCUGCCUUUUAGUUCAGGAUAAAAUUCUGAAUAAUCAAAGAAAACUUUUUCGCUAAAAGAUGAGCCUGUGUAGGAUUAGGCAGUUGGUAUUUGGGUAAAAGCCUACCAAGCCUAUGAUCCUUAGCUGUUCUGAGAGGUUGUACAGCCACACUGGGACUGAGACAAGGCCCAGGCUUCAUUUGGAGCCAGCAGUGAGGAAUUUUGGACAAUGAGCGAAAGCUUGAUCCAGCAAUACUACAUGAGUGAUGAAGGCUUUCAAGUUGUAAAACUCUUUGGUUGAGGAGGAUAAUGACAGUACUCAACAAAAUAGCCCCGGCUAAACUUCGUG